CGAUGAUCGAGUGGUUAAUGCGUUGGACUCGAAAUCCAAUGGACAUGGUCAGCGCAGGCUCGAAUCCUGUUCGCAACGA